rnacentral:rRNA from 1 species
AGUGGCGGACGGGUGAGUAACACGUGGGUAACCUGCCCUAUGGAGGGGGAUAACACAGAGAAAUCUGUGCUAAUACCGCAUAAUGUAGUUUGAUCGCAUGGUUAGACUAUCAAAGAUUUAUUACCAUAGGAUGGACCCGCGGCCCAUUAGCUAGUUGGUGAGGUAACGGCCCACCAAGGCGACGAUGGGUAGCCGACCUGAGAGGGUGAACGGCCACAUUGGAACUGAGACACGGUCCAGACUCCUACGGGAGGCAGCAGUGGGGAAUAUUGCACAAUGGGGGAAACCCUGAUGCAGCAACGCCGCGUGAGUGACGAAGGCCUUCGGGUUGUAAAACUCUGUCUUAGCUGACGAUAAUGACGGUAAGCUAGGAGGAAGCCACGGCUAACUACGUGCCAGCAGCCGCGGUAAUACGUAGGUGGCAAGCGUUGUCCGGAUUUACUGGGCGUAAAGGGAGCGUAGGCGGUUUUUUAAGUGGGAUGUGAAAUCCCCGGGCUUAACCCGGGAAUUGCAUUCCAAACUGGAAGACUAGAGUGCAGGAGAGGAAAGUGGAAUUCCAAGUGUAGCGGUGAAAUGCGUAGAGAUUUGGAGGAACACCAGUGGCGAAGGCGACUUUCUGGACUGUAACUGACGCUGAGGCUCGAGAGCGUGGGGAGCAAACAGGAUUAGAUACCCUGGUAGUCCACGCUGUAAACGAUGAAUACUAGG